rnacentral:rRNA from 1 species
GGGCUCACACAAGCGGUGGAGGAUGUGGCUUAAUUCGAGGCUACGCGAAGAACCUUAUCCUAGAUUUGACAUGCUUGAGAGUCUCUAUGAAAGUAGAGAGUGCCCUUCGGGGAGCUCUUGCACAGGUGCUGCAUGGCUGUCGUCAGCUCGUGUCGUGAGAUGUCGGGUUAAGUCCCUAACGAGCGAAACCCUUAUCUCUAGUUGCCAGCGGGUAAUGCCGGGGACUCUAGAGAGACUGCCGGUGUCAAAACCGGAGGAAGGUGGGGAUGACGUCAAGUCUCAUGGCCUUUAUGUCUAGGGGCUGGCACACGUCCUACAAUGGUACGGACAAACGGACGCAAUACGCGAGGUGGAGCA